UGACAAGUCGAGCGGUAGCACAGAGAGCUUGCUCUCGGGUGACGAGCGGCGGACGGGUGAGUAAUGUCUGGGAAACUGCCUGAUGGAGGGGGAUAACUACUGGAAACGGUAGCUAAUACCGCAUAACGUCGCAAGACCAAAGUGGGGGACCUUCGGGCCUCAUGCCAUCAGAUGUGCCCAGAUGGGAUUAGCUAGUAGGUGGGGUAACGGCUCACCUAGGCGACGAUCCCUAGCUGGUCUGAGAGGAUGACCAGCCACACUGGAACUGAGACACGGUCCAGACUCCUACGGGAGGCAGCAGUGGGGAAUAUUGCACAAUGGGCGCAAGCCUGAUGCAGCCAUGCCGCGUGUGUGAAGAAGGCCUUCGGGUUGUAAAGCACUUUCAGCGGGGAGGAAGGCGGUGAGGUUAAUAACCUUGGCGAUUGACGUUACCCGCAGAAGAAGCACCGGCUAACUCCGUGCCAGCAGCCGCGGUAAUACGGAGGGUGCAAGCGUUAAUCGGAAUUACUGGGCGUAAAGCGCACGCAGGCGGUCUGUCAAGUCGGAUGUGAAAUCCCCGGGCUCAACCUGGGAACUGCAUUCGAAACUGGCAGGCUAGAGUCUUGUAGAGGGGGGUAGAAUUCCAGGUGUAGCGGUGAAAUGCGUAGAGAUCUGGAGGAAUACCGGUGGCGAAGGCGGCCCCCUGGACAAAGACUGACGCUCAGGUGCGAAAGCGUGGGGAGCAAACAGGAUUAGAUACCCUGGUAGUCCACGCCGUAAACGAUGUCGAUUUGGAGGUUGUGCCCUUGAGGCGUGGCUUCCGGAGCUAACGCGUUAAAUCGACCGCCUGGGGAGUACGGCCGCAAGGUUAAAACUCAAAUGAAUUGACGGGGGCCCGCACAAGCGGUGGAGCAUGUGGUUUAAUUCGAUGCAACGCGAAGAACCUUACCUGGUCUUGACAUCCACAGAACUUUCCAGAGAUGGAUUGGUGCCUUCGGGAACUGUGAGACAGGUGCUGCAUGGCUGUCGUCAGCUCGUGUUGUGAAAUGUUGGGUUAAGUCCCGCAACGAGCGCAACCCUUAUCCUUUGUUGCCAGCGGUUAGGCCGGGAACUCAAAGGAGACUGCCAGUGAUAAACUGGAGGAAGGUGGGGAUGACGUCAAGUCAUCAUGGCCCUUACGACCAGGGCUACACACGUGCUACAAUGGCAUAUACAAAGAGAAGCGACCUCGCGAGAGCAAGCGGACCUCAUAAAGUAUGUCGUAGUCCGGAUUGGAGUCUGCAACUCGACUCCAUGAAGUCGGAAUCGCUAGUAAUCGUAGAUCAGAAUGCUACGGUGAAUACGUUCCCGGGCCUUGUACACACCGCCCGUCACACCAUGGGAGUGGGUUGCAAAAGAAGUAGGUAGCUUAACCUUCGGGAGGGCGCCUUA
rnacentral:rRNA from 1 species